UACGGAGGGUGCAAGCGUUAUCCGGAUUCACUGGGUUUAAAGGGAGCGCAGGCGGACUUGUAAGUCAGUGGUGAAAUACCUGAGCUUAACUCGGGAACUGCCAUUGAUACUAUAGGUCUUGAAUGUUGUUGAGGUUUGCGGAAUGGGUCAUGUAGCGGUGAAAUGCAUAGAUAUGACCCGGAACACCUAUUGCGAAGGCAGCAGGCUAAACAAAUAUUGACGCUGAGGCUCGAAAGCGUGGGGAGCGAACAGG
rnacentral:rRNA from 1 species